UUGUUGGUAAGGUAAAAGCUUACCAAGGCUUCGAUCAGUAGCUGGUCUGAGAGGACGACCAGCCACACUGGGACUGAGACACGGCCCAGACUCCUACGGGAGGCAGCAGUGGGGAAUUUUGGACAAUGGGGGCAACCCUGAUCCAGCCAUGCCGCGUGAGUGAAGAAGGCCUUCGGGUUGUAAAGCUCUUUCAGCCGGAACGAAACGGUUACGGUUAAUACCCGUGACUACUGACGGUACCGGAAGAAGAAGCACCGGCUAACUACGUGCCAGCAGCCGCGGUAAUACGUAGGGUGCGAGCGUUAAUCGGAAUUACUGGGCGUAAAGCGUGCGCAGGUGGUUUUGUAAGUCAGAUGUGAAAGCCCCGGGCUCAACCUGGGAACUGCGUUUGAAACUACAAGACUAGAGUGUGGCAGAGGGGGGUGGAAUUCCGCGUGUAGCAGUGAAAUGCGUAGAGAUGUGGAGGAACACCGAUGGCGAAGGCAGCCCCCUGGGUCAACACUGACGCUCAGGCACGAAAGCAUGGGGAGCAAACAGGAUUAGAUACCCUGGUAGUCCAUGCCCUAAACGAUGUCAACUAGUUGUCGGGCCUUUACGGGCUUGGUAACGUAGCUAACGCGUGAAGUUGACCGCCUGGGGAGUACGAUCGCAAGAUUAAAACUCAAAUGAAUUGACGGGGACCCGCACAAGCGGUGGAUUAUGUGGAUUAAUUCGAUGCAACGCGAAAAACCUUACCUACCCUUGACAUGUAUCGAAGCCCGCAGAAAAGCGGGGGUGCCCGAAAGGGAACGAUAACACAGGUGCUGCAUGGCUGUCGUCAGCUCGUGUCGUGAGAUGUUGGGUUAAGUCCCGCAACGAGCGCGACCCUUGUUAUUAAUUGCCAUCAUUUAGUUGGGCACUUUAAUGAGACUGCCGG
rnacentral:rRNA from 1 species